rnacentral:piRNA from 1 species
UAAAUCCAAGGUAUCUGGAAA